GACAGAGGGUGCAAACGUUGCUCGGAAUUACUGGGCGUAAAGCGCGUGUAGGCGGGCUGAUAAGUCGGACGUGAAAUCCCUGAGCUCAACUCAGGAACUGCAUUCGAAACUGUCAGUCUGGAGUAGUGGAGAGGAAAGCAGAAUUCCUGGUGUAGAGGUGAAAUUCGUAGAUAUCAGGAGGAACACCGGUGGCGAAGGCGGCUUUCUGGACACUUACUGACGCUG
rnacentral:rRNA from 1 species